rnacentral:rRNA from 1 species
GAUGAACGCUGGCGGCGUGCUUAACACAUGCAAGUCGAACGGGAAACCUUUUAUUUAAGCUUCGGCUGGUUUAGCUGGUUUCUAGUGGCGGAUGGGUGACUAACGCCUGGGUAACCUGCCUUAUACAGGGGGAUAACAUUCAGACAUGUCUGCUAAUACUGCAUCAUCGUACAGAUCUGCAUGGCUUAUUGGGUAAAACUCCGCUGGUCUAAGAUGUACCCGCGUUGGAUUAGCUGGUUGGUCGGGUAACGGCCAACCAAGGCGACGAUCCAUGGCCUGCCUGAGAGGGUGAACGGCAAGAGUGGGAGUGAGGCACGGCACAGACACCUAAGGGAGGAAGGAGUAGGGAAUAAUGAAGAAUGGGGGAAAUGCUGAAGCAACGACGCCGGGUGAAGGAAGAAGUACGGCGGGAUGUAAACUUCUAUCAGCAGGGAAGAUAAUGACGGUACCUGACGAAGAAGCCCCGGCUAACUACGUG